rnacentral:lncRNA from 1 species
UACUGGCAAAGGGUAAUUGUUCGCUGCCAACGCUGCGUUUAAUCCGGUGGAAUAGUCGGCACAGAUGCGUACCUUUGUUACAUCAUUGAGAUUAUGUCGAUGAAAUGCGCCCAAAUUUUCUCGGUGUGUAAAGAUUAAUACCAAUAAAGCAGCUGAAAUGUUUCAAAAUACCUACCAGCAAAAUCUCUCUCGUCGCCUUUCAUCACGGUCAAGGUUACACAUACUGAAGCCUUGACCAUCGAAACUCAUCACAGGCUACGAACAAUGCAGCCCCAUUGUACCACUAUCGAAGCCGGCGUGCGGUCGCAUGAGCAAUGAUCCAAAAGUUUACCAAAAAGUGCAUGCUCCGAAGUGAACUAAGUGUUCAAUAGUGCGAUUAAAUACUCCGUUAUCGGUGAGAACGUCAAAUACUUGCAGCAUCCAACAGUUUGGCCCUGAUCCACGUGCUCAAGAGGGAUCUAAUUCUACUAGGGCGAACAAUAGAGGUAAUUCAAACAAUGUUUGCCAAGCUACCCAUCCCUAAUUGUGCUCUACUAGGUGUCAUUGCAUGAUCGACGAGUUAUCAGACGCCAGGUGGAUGGUUCAAAAUCCGGUUUACCGUAGAUUAUCCCAGAGCACGGACACUGCCAAUAAUAGCAGCAUCAAAUUCGACCUGGACCGUUUUGUGGCAGAAGUCCCACUCAAGACAGCAUAAAAAAGGCCUUCAUCAGGUAAAACGACCCAUCAAUGCAAUUUCCUAUCGAUGGGCUAACGCCAAUCGCCUCAUCAGAGGGCCUUGUAUUUGCAGGCUCAAAUAGGCACUGCACUCCACGCGACGUUCUCAUCGCUCAGCACCCCAGCUACCUGCACGCUUUCCGUCAGCCGGUCAAAUUCUGGGAGGAAGGUCCUACACGAGCGCCAGUCGAGAGAGAUCAUGACCAAAUUGCAUCAAAGGUGCAUCCACCUGCGACAACAUUGAGCAGGCAGCGCGACAACCCGCACGUACAACUUGUUGCAACCCUAGUGCGACUGGGACGUGGUACAUUCUCGAGCUCUCAACAACGGUGUGACAAGCCACGGUGGCCGUAUCACCAACAGUUGUAGCGCGACAGCCGCGGUGCAGCAAAGUGCAACGCAGCGAUCGGGUGAAGGCCUUCCUGGUCGUGUAGCACCCGGUGGUGUGCGACGAAGCCAACGUGGAGCAGAAUGCAUCGAUGGUAGCAGCACGGGGCCCCCAACGAUACUGUUAGUGAGUAGCAAUGAGAACCUAGCAUAAGUUUGAAACAUUGUACCGGUAGAUCGAAGGUUUGCGAAAAUAGAAGUAUGAGAUAUUAAAUGUUACGUUCCAUGGUAGCUCUAAUUUCUACCUUGCCGUUAUCUUUUGAUUGAGUCAUUUUUUUGGUUCCAUUGGCGCUAGUGCACUAUGCAAACAGUGGCUAGCCGGCCUUAUCCGUCAAUCUGAACCAAGAGUUUUAUUAGAAGGUGCACCGACGCCGGGAGGACCACUUUCUGUUUGUAGUACUGUUGGUCAUAUAUUCCAUUGAGGCACUACCCGAGUUUUAAAGCGUUAUAUCCUUCUCGAAGCUUUUCCCCUCGGGAGUUGGCAAAUUAAACACAAUAAGGGAAAAUUGUCACACCUUCUCAUUAGGCUUCUUCACAGUAACAUAACAUUAGGCCGUUCCCCAUGGCGAAAAAUC